GAAAAAACAACCACCUUUAUAAUGUGAAUUAGGUUCGGUUCUAGUCGCCGUGUCCGAAGUGCAGCGCUGCGUCAUGUGCAGCGACUGUUGCACCAGUGCUCGACUGCAUAUAUAUCCGAGUGUGUGUGUGUGUGUGUGUGUGUGUGUGUGUGUGUGUGUGUGUGUGUGUGUGUGUGUGUGUGUGUGCGUGUGUGUGUGCGUGUGUAAAUGGAGCACUAAUAAACAGGGUUUGUUUGCUUUUAGAGGUCAUGUGAUCAACAGUGUGUUUCACAGCAAUUAAUCAAUAAUUCAAAACAAAACCAAGGUUUUGAUUUUUUAAGAGAAUUCAAAAUAGUUAUAGUUAAAAGUAUCUGUAGUGGACUGCAAUCGGUCAGUAUUUUAGGUUAUGAGAAUUAGGAGGUGAAUAUGAUUUGAGAAGCUGCUUCUCUUUGUAAAUCUGGGGUCCUGCCUUUGUCGACAUAUUUCAACAUGUUUGUUUGCAGAUUUCUACUCAUAUCAGUUGCAUCCACCGUACUAAUAUAUACCCAGUGGUACUGUUAUGUUCUCAAGUUGUUUGGUCAGCUGCCUUGUUCACCCACAAAGCACAUAUACUUCCUCUGACCCGCCGUAGCUCAUACACAUGUACAUGCACACACCCACACACACAAAAGCAACAAACCCCAAAACAAAUGUAAACGGGAAGUUGUGUUUUAUUUUUUCUCCUGAAGAUGCAUUGACUAGUAACAAGUCCAUCAUGGUGUGGUACAGUCUGUUGAAUCAUUUAGUAGAGAUUCAAAAUGAAACUCACAGCCAGUAAUGAUAUUUGCUGUUUGUUAUGUGAUUUACAGUAGGCAAUAAUCACUCAUGCUUAUUACUUUACAACUUCUCUACGACUCACGGAAUUUGUGGAUCAUGCAAACCGAGACCUGGAAUGAACCAAGUGAGAUGUGGCCUUGGAGCACGUCUCUCUCUCUUAUCUCAUACCAGUGGCACCAACACUUUUUUAUAUACAGUCUAUGGUCACAACCACUAAACCAUUUAUUGACACAUGCAAGGUGGGUUAUUGUCCACUUAGGCUGAAAUGUUUUAUUAUGAUAUUGCUCUAUCAUGCACAAUAUAAUAUUCUUUUAUCAAUCUGCUGUUGUAAAAACAUUUUAUUUAACUAUCCUUCAAAACGUAGAGAGCUAAUUAGUUUAUUCCCUUUUUCAUUCCACUUGAUAAAUCCUCACACGCACAGACAGUCAUGUAUCUACCAGCACAACAGCACACACACAGUGAGCGCUGUAUGGCAUGAUGGGGUGGUGACAAAAGACAGGUUGUUUUGUAAGAGAUUACAUGCACCCCAGGCCCAAACACGAGAGCUCAUCCUGCAGACUUUGACACAUAUAGCUUGUAUAUGACAGUAAGGAAUGACUCUUGUGGCUACGCGGUUGCUGUGUUGUUAUGAAACCUGCCCAUCAACUGACAGUCAAAAGUCAUGAAAAAUGAUGUCACUCUGGAAAGCAGAUAAGGAGAAGAAGACAAAAAAAACAACAACUCUAAUUUCAAACUUCCUCUUUCUAAUUACCAACAGAAAGUCCACAAAAUUACCAAGUUUGCCAAAUGCUGGGGAAAUGCAAAAAUGGUCAGGUGCUGAAAAAAGAAGAAGAAAAACAAAGAAACAUACAUCUGCCUGCACUCACCACAUUGUCAAGUCACAUCCUGUGCCUCAUGGACACGUGACAUUUGAAAAUGCCACCGUACGUGACAUGCACAGUGCACAAAGGCUCCUCGAAGGGAGAGAAGAAUCCCAUAUUCUCUGCAUUAUUACCAGCCAUUCUCCAAAGUAAUGACCUGCAUGUUAAAUUACAUCCGCCUAUGUUUGUGUGUUUGUAGUACGAGCAUGUUUCCCCGUGGGCCCUUUUCGAAGGCCCUGCUUUUGCACUGCAUUAGCUGCUUGGUAUUCUAAAACAUGCAAAGGCUCUUUAUUUGCGCCAGAUGCCAGAGGAAAGAUAAAACUCAGUUCCCUCUAAAGUUGUCAACGUCCGCUCUUGUUUUUUCAUACUGACCGCGCUUGAUCAGAUUCUGUAAGCGACAUCGUCGUGGAGCACAUGAAUACACUAUUAUGAAUGACAAUUUAAAAGUAUAUAUAUAUUUCUAUAUUUGUGUUUUUCUGUGCUCAUCUUACUUUUGAGUGGGCGGGACUACAGAAACAGGUGACGCCACAUUCCAUGUGUAUCAGUCAAAUGUUCAAAAUUAAAGCUAUAAACCACAA